rnacentral:rRNA from 1 species
UAGAUACCCUGGUAGUCCAUGCCGUAAACGGUGGGCGCUAGGUGUAGGGGACUUCCACGUCUUCUGUGCCGUAGCUAACGCAUUAAGCGCCCCGCCUGGGGAGUACGGCCGCAAGGCUAAAACUCAAAGGAAUUGACGGGGGCCCGCACAAGCGGCGGAGCAUGUGGAUUAAUUCGAUGCAACGCGAAGAACCUUACCUGGGCUUGACAUAUACAGGAUCGCUGCAGAGAUGUAGUUUCCCUUGUGGUCU